rnacentral:rRNA from 1 species
ACGAAGGGGGCUAGCGUUGCUCGGAAUCACUGGGCGUAAAGGGCGCGUAGGCGGACUUUUAAGUCGGAGGUGAAAGCCCAGGGCUCAACCCUGGAAUUGCCUUCGAUACUGGGAGUCUUGAGUUCGGAAGAGGUUGGUGGAACUGCGAGUAGAGAGGCGAAAUGCGUAGAAAUUGGCGAGAACGCCGGUGGCGGAGGCGACCAACCGGGACGAAACUGCCGCUUAGGCCCGAAAUCGUGUGGAGCAAACAG